GAUGAACGCUGACAGAAUGCUUAACACAUGCAAGUCUUUGGCGAAGCUGUGCUUGCACAGCCUAGCCAAGGCGGACGGGUGAGUAACGCGUAAGGAACUUGCCCUGCAGUCAGGGAUAACAGACGGAAACGACUGAUAAGACCUGGUAAAUUCAGGCGGACUCAUGUCCAGCCUGAUGAAAAGAGAUGCUGCAGGAGAGCCUUGCGUCCUAUUAGCUUGUUGGUGGGGUAACGGCCCACCAAGGCGAUGAUAGGUAGCCGGCCUGAGAGGGUGGACGGCCACAAGGGGACUGAGAUACGGCACUGACUCCUACGGGAGGCAGCAGUGGGGAAUAUUGGACAAUGGGGGCAACCCUGAUCCAGCAAUUCUGUGUGCACGAUGAAGGUUUUCGGAUUGUAAAGUGCUUUCAGCAGGGAAGAAAAAAAUGACGGUACCUGCAGAAGAAGCGACGGCUAAAUACGUG
rnacentral:rRNA from 1 species